rnacentral:rRNA from 1 species
UGUGUGAAGAAGGCCUUCGGGUUGUAAAGCACUUUUGUCCGGAAAGAAAACCUCGUGGUUAAUACCCGUGGGGGAUGACGGUACCGGAAGAAUAAGCACCGGCUAACUACGUGCCAGCAGCCGCGGUAAUACGUAGGGUGCAAGCGUUAAUCGGAAUUACUGGGCGUAAAGCGUGCGCAGGCGGUUCGCUAAGACAGAUGUGAAAUCCCCGGGCUUAACCUGGGAACUGCAUUUGUGACUGGCGGGCUAGAGUAUGGCAGAGGGGGGUAGAAUUCCACGUGUAGCAGUGAAAUGCGUAGAGAUGUGGAGGAAUACCGAUGGCGAAGGCAGCCCCCUGGGCCAAUACUGACGCUCAUGCACGAAAGCGUGGGGAGCAACCAGGAUUAGAUACCCUGGUAGUCCACGCCCUAAACGA